rnacentral:rRNA from 1 species
CUACGGGUCGCAGCAGUCGAGAAUCUUCCGCAAUGGACGAAAGUCUGACGGAGCGACGCCGCGUGCGGGAUGAAGGCCUUCGGGUUGUAAACCGCUGUCAGUGGGGAGGAAAUGCAUCAGGGUUCUCCCUGGUGUUUGACCGAUCCGCAGAGGAAGCGCGGGCUAAGUUCGUGCCAGCAGCCGCGGUAACACAGAACUGCGCGAACGUUAUUCGGAAUCACUGGGCUUAAAGAGUUCGUAGGCGGCCUUUCAAGUCGGGUGUGAAAUCCCUCGGCUCAACCGAGGAAUUGCGCCUGAUACUGUUGGGCUUGAGGGGGAUAGGGGUGAGCGGAACUGAUGGUGGAGCGGUGAAAUGCGUUGAUAUCAUCAGGAACACCGGUGGCGAAGGCGGCUCACUGGAUCUCUUCUGACGCUGAGGAACGAAAGCUAGGGGAGCGAACGGGAUUAGAUACCCCAGUAGUC